rnacentral:rRNA from 1 species
UGGGGAAUUUUGGACAAUGGGGGAAACCCUGAUCCAGCCAUCCCGCGUGUGCGAUGAAGGCCUUCGGGUUGUAAAGCACUUUUGGCAGGAAAGAAACGUCGCGGGUUAAUACCCCGCGAAACUGACGGUACCUGCAGAAUAAGCACCGGCUAACUACGUGCCAGCAGCCGCGGUAAUACGUAGGGUGCAAGCGUUAAUCGGAAUUACUGGGCGUAAAGCGUGCGCAGGCGGUUCGGAAAGAAAGAUGUGAAAUCCCAGAGCUUAACUUUGGAACUGCAUUUUUAACUACCGGGCUAGAGUGUGUCAGAGGGAGGUGGAAUUCCGCGUGUAGCAGUGAAAUGCGUAGAUAUGCGGAGGAACACCGAUGGCGAAGGCAGCCUCUGGGAUAACACUGACGCUCAUGCACGAAAGCGUGGGGAGCAAACAGGAUUAGAUACCCUGGUAGUCCACGCCCUAAACGAUGUCAACUAGCUGUUGGGGGCCUUCGGGCCUUGGUAGCGCAGCUAACGCGUGAAGUUGACCGCCUGGGGAGUACGGUC